UACGAAGGGUGCAAGCGUUACUCGGAAUUACUGGGCGUAAAGCGCGCGCAGGCGGUCUUCCAAGUCAGUGGUGAAAGCCCGGAGCUCAACUCCGGAACUGCCAUUGAAACUGUUAGACUUGAGGAUGAGAGAGGUGAGUGGAAUUCCCAGUGUAGAGGUGAAAUUCGUAGAUAUUCGGAAGAACACCAGUGGCGAAGGCGACUUACUGGACACAUAUUGACGCUGAGGUGCGAAAGCGUGGGGAGCAAACGGG
rnacentral:rRNA from 1 species